rnacentral:rRNA from 1 species
UACGAAGGGGGCUAGCGUUGUUCGGAUUUACUGGGCGUAAAGCGCACGUAGGCGGAUCGAUCAGUCAGGGGUGAAAUCCCAGGGCUCAACCCUGGAACUGCCUUUGAUACUGUCGAUCUGGAGUAUGGAAGAGGUGAGUGGAAUUCCGAGUGUAGAGGUGAAAUUCGUAGAUAUUCGCAAGAACACCAGUGGCGAAGGCGGCUCACUGGCCCGAUACUGACGCUGAGGCACGAAAGCGUGGGGAGCAAACAGGG